CAGCACGUUGGCGGCUAUAAGCCAAGAGCGGUAGCGUG
rfam:Rhodnius prolixus Rhodnius_prolixus-3.0.3-3713.1, whole genome shotgun sequence.